rnacentral:rRNA from 1 species
UAAUACGAAGGGUGCUAGCGUUGUUCGGAAUUACUGGGCGUAAAGCGUGCGUAGGUUGUUUAUCAAGUUAGUGGUGAAAGCCCGGAGCUUAACUCCGGAAUUGCCAUUAAAACUGAUAGGCUAGAGAGUGUUAGAGGUUAGUGGAAUUCCUAGUGUAGGAGUGAAAUCCGUAGAUAUUAGGAGGAACAUCAAUGGCGAAGGCAGCUAACUGGGUCACAUCUGACACUGAGGCACGAAAGCGUGGGUAGCAAACAGG